rnacentral:rRNA from 1 species
GACGAACGCUGGCGGCGUGCUUAACACAUGCAAGUCGAACGGUAAGGCCCUUCGGGGUACACGAGUGGCGAACGGGUGAGUAACACGUGGGUGAUCUGCCCUGCACUUCGGGAUAAGCCUGGGAAACUGGGUCUAAUACCGGAUAGGACCACUGCCUGCAUGGGUGGUGGUGGAAAGCUUUUGCGGUGUGGGGUGGGCCCGCGGCCUAUCAGCUUGUUGGUGGGGUGAUGGCCUACCAAGGCGACGACGGGUAGCCGGCCUGAGAGGGUGACCGGCCACACUGGGACUGAGAUACGGCCCAGACUCCUACGGGAGGCAGCAGUGGGGAAUAUUGCACAAUGGGCGCAAGCCGGAUGCAGCGACGCGGCGGGAGGGAUGACGGCCUUCGGGUUGUAAACCUCUUUCAGCUAUGACGAAGCGCAAGUGACGGUAGUAGCAGAAGAAGGACCGGCCAACUACGUGCCAGCAGCCGCAGUAA